CUGAGCUGAUAAACAACAAACAGGGUAUUCUUUUAGCUGGUGUAUUGAUGAAGAUGAUGAUAAUGAAGAUGAUGGACUCCUAAACAUCAAACUCGAAAAUCUCCCAAUAUGUGUUUAACCGUUCAACUGGUCUGAGAUCUUGGUGCAAUGGAACAAUACGUGCAGAGAACACAGACUCACACUCCUUCAUCAUGCCGAUGUCGACGCAGCGCUUGAGGCGACAGGCUUGGCAGUGUCUGCGGUUGUCUUUGGUGAUGGUGCAGCUGCCGUUAAAGGGACAAGUGAAACUGGCCUUCCGCUUCAUACUGCGCCUGA